AGCGAACGCUGGCGGCAGGCUUAACACAUGCAAGUCGAGCGGGCCCUUCGGGGUCAGCGGCGGACGGGUGAGUAACGCGUGGGAACGUGCCUUCUGGUCUGGAAUAACCCUGGGAAACUAGGGCUAAUACCGGAUACGCCCUUUUGGGGAAAGGUUUACUGCCGGAAGAUCGGCCCGCGUCUGAUUAGCUAGUUGGUGGGGUAACGGCCUACCAAGGCGACGAUCAGUAGCUGGUCUGAGAGGAUGAUCAGCCACACUGGGACUGAGACACGGCCCAGACUCCUACGGGAGGUAGCAGUGGGGAAUAUUGGACAAUGGGCGCAAGCCUGAUCCAGCCAUGCCGCGUGAGUGAUGAAAGCCUUAGGGUUGUAAAGCUCUUUUAUCCGGGACGAUAAUGACGGUACCGGAGGAAUAAGCCCCGGCUAACUUCGUG
rnacentral:rRNA from 1 species